rnacentral:rRNA from 1 species
AGUGAACGCUGGCGGUAGGCCUAACACAUGCAAGUCGAACGGCAGCACAGUAAGAGCUUGCUCUUACGGGUGGCGAGUGGCGGACGGGUGAGGAAUACAUCGGAAUAUACUUUUUCAUGGGGGAUAACGUAGGGAAACUUACGCUAAUACCGCAUACGUCCUACGGGUGAAAGCAGGGGAUCUUCGGACCUUGCGCGAUUGAAUGAGCCGAUGUCGGAUUAGCUAGUUGGCGGGGUAAAGGCCCACCAAGGCGACGAUCCGUAGCUGGUCUGAGAGGAUGGUCAGCCACACGGGAACUGAGACACGGUCCAGACUCCUACGGGAGGCAGCAGUGGGGAAUAUUGGACAAUGGGCGCAAGCCUGAUCCAGCCAUACCGCGUGGGUGAAGAAGGCCUUCGGGUUGUAAAGCCCUUUUGUUGGGAAAGAAAAGCAGCAGGUUAAUACCCCGCUGUUCUGACGGUACCCAAAGAAUAAGCACCGGCUAACUUCGUG